AGACUUGGUCGCGACGCGGGUGAAAGUGUAGUAUCUGUUCAUAUUAGCUUAAUAUCUCACACGGAUUCUAUCUGGACCCGAAAUAUUAAACUCCUCAGUGCAGGUUGGCCGAGUGCCUAAAGCCUGAUCCACCGUCGCCGCUGGUCGGCCCGGUAUUGCAUUACCUCCGGGAUCGGCCCACGGCUU